rnacentral:rRNA from 1 species
UACGAAGGGUGCAAACGUUGCUCGGAAUUAUUGGGCGUAAAGCGCGUGUAGGCGGCUCUGUAAGUCGGGUGUGAAAUCCCACGGCUCAACCGUGGAAGUGCACUCGAAACUACAGGGCUAGAGUCCUGGAGAGGAAGGUGGAAUGCUUGGUGUAGAGGUGAAAUUCGUAGAUAUCAAGCGGAACACCGGUGGCGAAGGCGGCCUUCUGGACAGCGACUGACGCUGAGACGCGAAAGCGUGGGGAGCAAACAGG